rnacentral:rRNA from 1 species
ACUCCUGCGGGAGGCAGCAGUGGGGAAUAUUGCACAAUGGGCGCAAGCCUGAUGCAGCCAUGCCGCGUGUAUGACGAAGGCCUUCGGGUUGUAAAGUACUUUCAGCGGGGAGGAAGGCGAUAAGGUUAAUAACCUUGUUGAUUGACGUUACCCGCAGAAGAAGCACCGGCUAACUCCGUGCCAGCAGCCGCGGUAAUACGGAGGGUGCAAGCGUUAAUCGGAAUUACUGGGCGUAAAGCGCACGCAGGCGGUCUGUCAAGUCGGAUGUGAAAUCCCCGGGCUCAACCUGGGAACUGCAUUCGAAACUGGCAGGCUAGAGUCUUGUAGAGGGGGGUAGAAUUCCAGGUGUAGCGGUGAAAUGCGUAGAGAUCUGGAGGAAUACCGGUGGCGAAGGCGGCCCCCUGGACAAAGACUGACGCUCAGGUGCGAAAGCGUGGGGAGCAAACAGGAUUAGAAACCCCUGUAGUCCCAUG